UCCCCGCUCUGCCGCUGCCGCCGCCGUCGCCGUCGCCCGAGAAGGAUCCGGGCCGGGCCGGGCCGGGAUGGUCCCGGUCGGGAGGCCGCCGCCACCGCCGCCGGAGGGAGCGGGCCUCCCAGCACCGCACUGAGCCGCCCCCGCCCCUGCCCCCUCUCCGCCCCGUCCCCGGGGGAUGCGCCGCCUGGAGCCGCUGCCUCCGCCGCCGCAGCCGCAGCCGCAGCCGCAGCGGGCUCAGAGCAGGUAGAUGGCCCCCUCAGGGCAGGCCCUGCGGACACCCCUCCCUCCGGCUGGCGGAUGCAGUGCCUAGCGGCCGCUCUUAAGGACGAAACCAACAUGAGUGGGGGAGGGGAGCAGGCCGACAUCCUGCCGGCCAACUACGUGGUCAAGGAUCGCUGGAAGGUGCUCAAAAAGAUCGGGGGCGGGGGCUUUGGUGAGAUCUACGAGGCCAUGGACCUGCUGACCAGGGAGAACGUGGCCCUGAAGGUGGAGUCGGCCCAGCAACCCAAGCAGGUCCUCAAGAUGGAGGUGGCUGUGCUCAAAAAGCUGCAAGGGAAAGACCACGUGUGCAGGUUCAUUGGCUGUGGCCGCAACGAGAAGUUUAACUAUGUAGUGAUGCAGCUCCAGGGCCGGAACCUGGCUGACCUGCGACGCAGCCAGCCUCGAGGCACCUUCACGCUGAGCACCACUCUGCGGCUGGGCAAGCAGAUCCUGGAGUCCAUCGAGGCCAUCCACUCCGUGGGCUUCCUGCACCGCGACAUCAAGCCGUCAAACUUUGCCAUGGGCAGGCUGCCCUCCACCUACAGAAAGUGCUACAUGUUGGAUUUUGGGCUGGCCCGGCAGUACACCAACACCACGGGGGACGUUCGGCCCCCUCGGAAUGUGGCCGGGUUUCGCGGGACUGUUCGCUAUGCCUCGGUCAAUGCUCACAAGAACCGGGAGAUGGGCCGCCACGAUGACCUGUGGUCCCUCUUCUACAUGCUUGUGGAGUUUGCAGUGGGUCAGCUGCCUUGGAGGAAGAUCAAGGACAAGGAGCAGGUAGGGAUGAUCAAGGAGAAGUACGAGCACCGGAUGCUGCUGAAGCACAUGCCCUCCGAGUUCCACCUUUUCCUGGACCACAUCGCCAGCCUCGACUAUUUCAGCAAGCCCGAUUACCAGUUGAUCAUGUCAGUGUUUGAGAACAGCAUGAAGGAGCGGGGCAUCGCGGAGAACGAGGCCUUUGACUGGGAGAAGGCGGGCAAUGACGCCCUCCUGUCCACGAGCACCUCCACCCCGCCCCAGCAGAACACCCGGCAGACGGCAGCCAUGUUUGGGGUGGUCAACGUGACGCCGGUGCCCGGCGACCUGCUCCGGGAAAACACUGAGGAUGUGCUGCAGGGCGAACACCUGAGUGACCAGGAGAACGCACCUCCGAUCCUGCCGGGGCGGCCCCCCGAGGGGCCGGGCUCCAGCCCCCACCUCGCCCCCCAUCCCGGGGGUCCUGAGGCUGAAGUCUGGGAGGAGACAGAUGUCAACCGGAACAAACUCCGGAUCAACAUUGGCAAAACCCCCUGUGUGGUGGAGGAGGAGCAGAGCCGAGUUGCGGGGCUCCCCGGCUCCCCGGUGCGUGUCCCCCCAGACUCACCGACAACCCCAGUCCGUUCUCUGCACUACCGGAGGGUCAACAGCCCUGAGUCGGAGAGGCUGUCCACGGCGGAUGGGCGGGUGGAACUGCAUGAGAGGAGGUCACGAAUGGAUCUGCCCGGCUCACCCUCGCGCCAGGCCUGUUCCUCGCAGCCGGCCCAGAUGCUGUCAGUGGACACGGGCCACGCCGACCGGCAGGCUAGCGGCCGCAUGGACGUGUCAGCCUCCGUGGAACAGGAGGCCCUGAGCAAUGCCUUCCGCUCGGUGCCGCUGGCCGAGGAGGAGGACUUCGACAGCAAGGAGUGGGUCAUCAUUGACAAGGAGACAGAGCUGAAGGACUUCCCCCCGGGGGCUGAGCCUAGUACGUCGGGCACCACGGACGAGGAGCCCGAGGAGCUGCGGCCGCUGCCCGAGGAGGGCGAGGAGCGUCGGCGGCCAGGGCCGGAGCCCACCGUCCGGCCCCGGGGACGCGGCAUGCACACACUGGCCGAGGAGGACCUGCGGCUGAUGCCGGCUCAGCCCCUGCCACCCCAGCUGAACCAGGCCGAUGGCCGGUCAGAGACAUCACAGCCCCCCACGCCCGGCAGCCCUUCCCACUCGCCCCUGCACUCCGGACCCCGCCCUCGACGGAGAGAGUCGGAUCCCACGGGCCCUCAGAGACAGGUGUUCUCCGUGGCGCCCCCGUUUGAGGUGAAUGGUCUCCCGCGAGCUGUGCCCCUGAGCCUGCCCUACCAGGACUACAAGAAGGAUCUUUCCGAUUACCGUGAACGGGCUCGGCUGCUCAACAGGGUCCGGAGGGUGGACUUCUCGCACAUGCUACUUGCCACCCCGCAGGUCCCGCUGGCGCCUGUUCAGCCUCAAACGAAUGGGAAGGAGGAAGAGGAGGAGGAGGAGGAGAAAGAGGAGGAGGAGGAGGAGGAGGAGGAAGAAGAAGAGGAAGAAGAAGAGGAGGAGGAGGAGGAGGAAGAGGAGGAAGAAGAGGAGGAAGAAGAGGAGGAGGAGGAGGCAGUGGCCCUGGGGGAGGUGCUGGGGCCACACAGUGGCUCCAGCAGUGAGGGCAGCGAGAGGAGCACGGACCGGAGCCAGGAGGGCGCCCCGUCCACGCUGCUGGCCGAUGAUCAGAAAGAGUCCAGGGGCCGAGCCUCCAUGGCUGACGGGGACCUGGAGCCUGAGGAGGGCUCCAAAACGCUGGUGCUCGUCUCCCCUGGCGACAUGAAGAAGUCGCCUGUCACUGCCGACCUGGCCCCCGACCCUGACCUGGGCACUCUGGCUGCCCUCACUCCUCAGCACGAACGGCCCCAGCCCACCGGCAGCCAGCUGGACGUGUCAGAGCCAGGCACCCUGUCCUCUGUCCUCAAGUCUGAGCCCAAGCCCCCUGGGACCGGGACAGGGCCGGGGGCUGGGGCAGUGACCAUAGGGGCAGGGGGAGUGGCAGUCACCUCCUCGCCCUUCACCAAAGUCGAGAGGACCUUUGUGCACAUUGCAGAGAAAACCCACCUCAAUGUCAUGUGUUCUGGUGGACAAGCCUCCCGGUCUGAGGAGCUCAGCGCUGGGGGGGAGCUGGGCCUGGAGGUGCCCUCUGAUGGAAGGGCUGCAGAGGAGGGGGCCUCCGUGUACCUGGAGAACGGCAUUGCCCUAUCGGGGCUGGUGAGCUGUGUCCUGUCCGCCCCCCCCGGGAGCAGCCCCUUGGAGGUGACCACAGACUCACUGCCCAAUGGCCCAGCCCUUGCCGAUGGGCCAGCCCCGGUGUCCCUGCUGGAGCCGGGUCCCGAGAAACUGGCCACCAUCUCCCCCAGUCGCCAGGCCAGGCCAGGCCCUCGCCCCAGGAGCCGAAUCCCUGUCCUGCUGUCUGAGGAGGACACAGGCUCGGAGCCCUCAGGCUCCCUGUCGGCCAAAGAGCGUUGGGGCAAGAGGGCACGACCACAGCAGGACCUGGCGCGGCUGGUGAUGGAGAAGAGGCAGGGCCGCCUGCUGCUGCGCCUGGCCUCUGGGGCCUCAUCCUCUUCCAGUGAGGAGCAGCGCCGUGCCUCUGAGACGCUCUCAGGCACAGGCUCGGAGGAGGACACGCCUGCCUCUGAGCCCGCGGUGCCCAGGAAAGCCGGGCGGGCAGCUGCCACCCGGAGCCGGAUCCCCCGUCCCAUCAGCGUCCGCAUGCCCACGCCUGCCGCAGCCCAGCAGCCCCCUGACAGACCCCAAGGCGCGGCCCCAGCAUCUGACACAGCCAUCACCAGCAGGCUCCAGCUGCAGAAGCCCCCAGGGACGGCCAUUGCUGCUGACCUCCGUCCCAAACAGCCGUGGCCCGGGCCCAGGGCGAGCCGUGGCCCGGGCCCAGGGCGAGCCCAAGCCGGCACCAGGCCCCCAGCCCCGCGCAGUCCCGGCCUCCCCGCCUCCUCCGCGCACCAUCCCAGCGCCUCCCCCCGGAGCCGGUCCCUGUCCCGCAAAGAGAGCCCCUCCCCCUCGCACCAGGCCCGGCCGGGGGCCCCCCCACCCCGGGGCGCCCCGCAGGCCCGGGCCCAGCCUGAAGGCACCCCCUCCCCGGGGGCCCCCAAGAAAGGACCCAGAGGGAAACUCCAGACUCAGCGCGCAACCAAAGGCCGGGCGGGGGUUGCGGAGGGUCGGGCUGGGGCCAGAUAAUGACGCGCGCGGCGCUCCGUGGCCCCUCACCCUCACCCCGGCCCCCCACCUGCAGCCGGCCACACUGGAACAGCUCCCAGCACAGCCUUACGCGCCUGACGCGCGCCACCCGCGGCCCCAGCUUCCUGCCUGCACCCGCGAGGACGCGCGCCAGCACACGCCGCGCCCACCCGCCGGCCCUGCGGAAGGGGACGCGGCGCCGCGGGGGGAGUGUCCGCCUCCCCAUCCUCCCCUGUCUCCGCCCCUCCCCCUGCUGCCCUUCAGGUGGGGCAGGCUCACCCUACGCCCCGGGGAAGGCUCAGCGACUCUUCACCAAGGACUCCACGAAUGGGGACGCCCUGCUAACCACCAGGCCUCUGCUGCUCUCCAAGCCCCCCCAGGGAACUCUGCUUACACAUCCUGCGGCGCCUUUCCCUCCUCCUGACCCUCAUCCAGCCAAAGCUACACGCCCCAACCCUUUCGGAAAGGCAGCCUCAAAUUCCAGAAGUGGAGGCUCCAGCCUCCCACUAGGGGUUAAUCUCACAUCUCCCGGGAGCUGUGGUGGUUGGAAAGGGCUCUUCUCAGCUGCCAGAUGGGGGUUGGGGAGGUGAGACCUAGGAGCCAUUGGUCUACUGUGGUGUGAGGAGGCAGGUCUGACCUGCCCCAAAGUCAGUCAUCCUGGACACCCCUGUAGGAGGCAGUGGACAGGUGAUGGGGGAAGGGUGCUCCCUUGCGCCUCUAGGGUGCCAAGACCCUCUCCCCCUUAGUUUGUGUGGGACCUCAGUGGGAACCAUCAAGUGUGUGUGGGCUGCCUUCCUGGGCAAGUGUUUCCCAAUGGGAAGUUAGAGGGGGGCUUUAAAAAAGGUUUCACCCCUUCCCUUUGUCCCCGGAUCUAGUGCUCAGGAUCCCUCACCAUCAGGAAUUCCUUCUUGCCAUCUAACCUCAAUCUUGCCGACUGCAGUUUCAGCCAACUUCUCUCUCUCCUGAAUUCAGUGCAGGUGGAGAACGGCUGGUUAUCAUCUUCUCUGCACUGGCCCUUUGGAGGUUCAGGGACUCAGUUCUAGCUGGGUCACCAUCCCUGUCCUCCUGCCUGUGGGGAGUAGGCUGGAUCAGACCAUCAUCUCCCCCAGUGGGAGAGAGAGCAGAAAUAGGCAGACAGACAGACAGCUGGCCCCUGGACUCAAGGCAGAAAGGCCCUUUUAACUUCCAGAUUGUAUGCUUGUGUGAUAGGUCCAGCCCCAGCCCCCUCCGCCUCCAGCUCACCCUUCGGCCUGUCCCCUCUUGUCCUAAUCCCAGCCCAUGUGGCCGAGCAGUCCCUGCAGCGGGUGAGGCCUCUGCUGCUCCGUGAAUGGAUAUGGGGCCUCCUCCUGGGUCUGGCUCCUGCAUAGUUCAUCCCAACUCAUCAUCAGCCUCAACUGCCUACAUCUGGGCCAAGGGGCUGCAGAAGGGAUAGCCAGCCCUGCCUCUCUGGGACAGGUCCCCUGCAGGCCUUCUCCAUCCUCAGCACACACAGCCUCUGUCCCCUGGCCUGGCCCCUCUGUUCUUCCCUGGGUCAUAGACAGCAAGGCAAGACAACCAAGGGAAGAGGAAGAAAGGUCCCAGCCUGCCCCAGUGAUCUGGCAGCAUCCAGCCACCAUCACUUAGAAGGAUGCCCGUGAGGAAAUUGGCCCCGAGGGAAGCCUGGUGGUGCCAGCUGAAGCCCCUGAUGGAGAGUCGGCAGCUUGGGCAGCUGCUUCUAUGCCAAGGUGGUGGUUUCUCUGCAGACCAGCCCAGGGGAGGACUCCAGGGUGGAUGGCCUUCGAGAUUCACCCAAUGCUGACGCAGAAGCUCCCAGAACACUCAGGAAACCUCUCCGGACAGAGCCCUCUUUGUCAACCCGAGACCCUCCCAAGGCCUCUGCUGCCCUCUGGAUCCAGCAGAGGGGGUGGAGGAAGGGCCACUCCCUCCCACCUAGAGCUUCUCCGAAUGACAAUCAGCUCGUGCCAGAAGGAUCCAGGGCAGAGGAAACCACACCUUCCAGUGCCCCCACCCCCAGCUGCAGCUUCUUCCCCCUUGGGCACCCAUUCCCUGCCACCAAGCCUUCCCAGUCCUGAGCGCCUUCUCUAUAAAAGAGUGUCACACCACCACCACCACACCCCUCCAGCAUUUCCUCAUCACCACAGCCUGUGUCACUGGCUCGGAUGCAGGUCUGCUCACCCCAAAACAUGCCUCCCCUCCCCAGCCGCACUGUGCACGAAGAAGGUGCAGGCGAGGAGCCGGGCCCCAAACCCGUGGGCUGCCCCCUUCCCAGAUCCUCGCAGGGGCCUGGCUUGCUCAGUCUUCUCAGCUCCGGGGACCAGCCCUGGUGGUCAUGGGGUAGGGGGCAGAGAGUUGCCCCUGCCCUCUCCCUGGGGAAGCCACUGAAGAAUGUUUACAUGCCAAAAAGAAUGUAACACCCUCCCCCACCCCUCCUAGUCACUGCAUGGCCUCUGCCCACCUUGCACCUGUCCACCCGCCACCCCCACCCCCUGGAAGCCCCUGUCAUGAUUAGAUCGGGUCUCGGAAGGGAAGUAGCCAUCACACCAUUAAAAAGCCU